rnacentral:rRNA from 1 species
UACGGAGGGUGCGAGCGUUAUCCGGAAUCAUUGGGCUUAAAGUGUCCGUAGGCGGUUUAGUAAGUCAGUGGUGAAAGCCCAUCGCUCAACGGUGGAACGGCCAUUGAUACUGCUGAACUUGAAUUACUAGGAAGUAACUAGAAUAUGUAGUGUAGCGGUGAAAUGCGUAGAGAUUACAUGGAAUACCAAUUGCGAAGGCAGGUUACUACUAGUGGAUUGACGCUGAUGGACGAAAGCGUGGGUAGCGAACAGG